rnacentral:rRNA from 1 species
UACGAAGGGUGCAAGCGUUAAUCGGAAUUACUGGGCGUAAAGGGUGCGUAGGCGGUUCGUUAAGUCUGUCGUGAAAUCCCCGGGCUCAACCUGGGAAUGGCGAUGGAUACUGGCGAGCUAGAGUGUGUCAGAGGAUGGUGGAAUUCCCGGUGUAGCGGUGAAAUGCGUAGAGAUCGGGAGGAACAGCAGUGGCGAAGGCGGCCAUCUGGGACAACACUGACGCUGAAGCACGAAAGCGUGGGGAGCAAACAGG